rnacentral:rRNA from 1 species
UACAGAGGUCUCAACCGUUGUUCGGAUUCAUUGGGCGUAAAGGGUGCGUAGGCGGUCGUGCAAGUCGGAUGUGAAAUCUUAGGGCUCAACCCUGAAACUGCAUUCGAUACUGCAUGGCUUGAGUACUGGAGGGGAGACUGGAAUUUACGGUGUAGCAGUGAAAUGCGUAGAUAUCGUAAGGAAGACCAGUGGCGAAGGCGAGUCUCUGGACAGUUACUGACGCUGAGGCACGAAGGCCAGGGGAGCAAACGGG